rnacentral:lncRNA from 1 species
UAGUCCCGCCCAUCUUGUUCUUUGUUCUGUUGACUCGCAUUACCAUUGAUGACUACGCCUUUGUAACUCCUAGCUCUGUCGUCGUGUCUUACCCCAUCUGGCCAUCCCCCAUUGCCCUCUCUGAUCUCCUGCUUUCUCUCCGGACUAGCCUUUGUAUUCUUCUUCUCUAGCGGACACUUCUCUUCCUUAUGACACAGGCUAGAACAAAGCUGGCAAUAACCAAAUAGUUUUUCAUAUCGCAAAGAGAUCGCCACCUCCUCACCAUCAUAAAACUC